GACGAACGCUGGCGGCGUGCUUAACACAUGCAAGUCGAACGGAAAGGCCCUGCUUUUGUGGGGUGCUCGAGUGGCGAACGGGUGAGUAACACGUGAGUAACCUGCCCUUGACUUUGGGAUAACUUCAGGAAACUGGGGCUAAUACCGGAUAGGAGCUCCUGCUGCAUGGUGGGGGUUGGAAAGUUUCGGCGGUUGGGGAUGGACUCGCGGCUUAUCAGCUUGUUGGUGGGGUAGUGGCUUACCAAGGCUUUGACGGGUAGCCGGCCUGAGAGGGUGACCGGCGACAUUGGGACUGAGAGACGGCCCAGACUCCUACGGGAGGCAGCAGGGGGGAAUAUUGCACAAUGGGCGGAAGCCUGAUGCAGCGACGCCGCGUGCGGGAUGACGGCCUUCGGGUGGUAAACCGCUUUCGCCUGUGACGAAGCGUGAGUGACGGUAAUGGGUAAAGAAGCACCGGCUAACUACGUG
rnacentral:rRNA from 1 species